rnacentral:rRNA from 1 species
GACGAACGCUGGCGGCGUGCCUAAUACAUGCAAGUCGAACGCAUUUUCUUUCACCGUAGCUUGCUACACCGAAAGAAAAUGAGUGGCGAACGGGUGAGUAACACGUGGGUAACCUGCCCAUCAGCGGGGGAUAACACUUGGAAACAGGUGCUAAUACCGCAUACUUCCAUUUACCGCAUGGUAGAUGGGUGAAAGGCGCUUUUGCGUCACUGAUGGAUGGACCCGCGGUGCAUUAGCUAGUUGGUGGGGUAACGGCCUACCAAGGCUGCGAUGCAUAGCCGACCGGAGAGGGUGAUCGGCCACACUGGGACUGGGACACGGCCCAGACUCCUACGGGAGGCAGCAGUAGGGAGUCUUCGGCAAUGGACGCAAGUCGGACCGAGCAACGCCGCGUGAGUGAAGAAGGUUUUCGGAUCGUAAAACGCUGUUGUUAGAGAAGAACAAGGAUGAGAGUGGAAAGUUCAUCCCUUGACGGUAGCUAACCAGAAAGCCACGGCUAACUACGUG